rnacentral:tRNA from 1 species
GCAAUCGUAACUCAAGUUGGAUGAGUCUUAGUACGCGGGUUCGAUUCCCGCCGAUUGCA